GUACUUGCUUCGGCAGUACAUAUACAAAAAUUGGAACAAUACACAGAAGAUUAGCAUGGCCCUUGCGCAACGAUGACACACAAAAUCAUGGAGCGUUCAACAUGUUU